rnacentral:misc_RNA from 1 species
GAAAUGCGAAAAGUAGUGUGAAUUGCAGAAUUCAGUGAAUCAUCGAAUCUUUGAACGCACAUUGCGCCCCUUGGUAUUCCAUGGGGCAUGCCUGUUCGAGCGUCAUUUGUACCCUCAAGCUCUGCUUGGUGUUGGGUGUUUGUCCCGCCUUCGCGCGUGGACUCGCCUUAAAGUGAUUGGCAGCCGGAAUAAUUCUGGGGAACGCAGCACAACUGCAGCCUCCAUUUUACGCCGAGCGUCCAGUAAGCCUUUUUUCAACGUUUGACCUCGGAUCAGGUAGGGAUACCCGCUGAACUUAA